UACAUGGGGUGCAAACGUUGCUCGGAAUCAUUGGGCGUAAAGGGCUCGUAGGCGGCCAACUAAGUCAGACGUGAAAUCCCUCAGCUUAACUGGGGAACUGCGUCUGAUACUGGAUGGCUUGGAUUCGGGAGAGGAAUGCGGAAUUCCAGGUGUAGCGGUGAAAUGCGCAGAUAUCAGGAGGAAUACCGAUGGCGAAGGCAGGUCUCUGGGCUAACACUGACGCUCAUGCACGAAAGCGUGGGGAGCAAACAGG
rnacentral:rRNA from 1 species